UACGUAGGGGGCGAGCGUUGUCCGGAGUUACUGGGCGUAAAGCGCUUGUAGGCGGUCAACCAAGUUUGGGGUGACAGUUGCCGACUUAAUCGGCAAAGUGCCUCAAAGACUGGCGGACUUGAGGGCCACAGAGGGACAUGGAACUCCAGGUGUAGUGGUGAAAUGCGUAGAUAUCUGGAAGAACACCAAAGGCGAAGGCAGUGUCCUGGGUGGUCGCUGACGCUGAGAGGCGAAAGCCAGGGGAGCGAACGGG
rnacentral:rRNA from 1 species